GAGCUCUCCCAGCUCUGGAAAGGUAUUGCCGUCACGGUCACUGCACUGGGACACUGGCAGCCAUCCUAGAUGUGCCUCAGAUCACAGCCGGCUCAGCUGUCAAGUACCAAGCUGCCAAAGGGCUUAAACCCUCUGCUCCAAAGACGUCGGCUGCACCCACUAUGCCCAGGGAUUGAGGAAGAAGAGACAAGGAUGGAGGUGUGCUGAGAGAUGCCGUCCUCUGCACACAGUGUAGCUGCUGCACAAAUGAACUCACAGCAUCUGUGCUAACCUGCACAAGAUGAGGCCCAAUCCUUAGCAGACAAGUCCUGGAGUUGACGGCUACUGGGAGGAGCAGUCACUUUUCUUUGUGGAAUGGCCACUGGAAGGACCUCCUCCCCAUACCACCCCCACCGGAGUCCUGUGGAUGACCCAGGACCUCCCACCCCACCUGUGUCCUGUGGAUGACCCUGUACCCAUGAGCAUAUGGGCAGAGCAAACUUUCUCAGUCAAAAGAAAGAAAGGAAAAGGAAGGCAGGCAGGCAUGAACGUUUAAGGUUUUUUGUUUUUUUAACAUUCCAAGUCUUCUUGAAAAGGAUUUGGAAAAGGAAAGAGGGGGAAAUCAAGCUGGCACGAGCUCAGCUUCAGAGACAACCUUUGAGUGAUGGUGACCCACCCAAGCCUGUUUUCCCAGCAGGUGGCAGUCCGAGAAGGAUAUCCCUGGUUUGGCUCAGUCAUGGUUAUAUAGAAAGAGCCUAUCUCAAAACAACAGAUUUUUCUUAAAUACCAACAAUAAAGCAUUUGCUCUUUCCCCAUAAAAUGACCAGUAAAGUUAAUUCAUGAUUUUGGUGCUGUUUCUCUCCCACCCAUGAAUUGGCUUUUAUAUUACACAUUGAAGACUUUCCUUUUUUAUGUGGAAAGUGUAUUGGGGGAGGGCUAGGGAGUAAGGGAGGAGAAGAGAGAAGAGAGACAGAACAGAGAGCUGGGGAGACAGUAAUCUGCCUCCUCAGAGAAUGACAGAAAGAGCCACACUGAAGACUUUCAGCAGGACAGUGGAAAUCUUUAAAUUCUUUACAUAAGAGUCCAUUUAGCUGUGCCUAGUGGUGUGGUGAUACUUUGUUUGUACAAUAAACCUGCCUGAAGAUCAGAGGGUGGAGCUAGCCACUAGAUAACCAUAGAGGUCUGGAGGUCUGUGCAGACAGACAGGAAGUGAUAAGGCGGGAGGAGGCAGGAGCUCAGUGACUUUUUGACUGGGAAGUUGAGUAGGUAAGGCGACUGUGGCUUGCUCCUUCGUCUCUCCGGUCUCUCAGCAUUUCCACCUAUAUCUGACUCUGGAAUUUUAUUACUAGACCUAUUAGACUUAUGUUACAUAUUGGUGCCCAACUUGAAGGCAUGAAUUCACGGAAAAGCCACAGGUAUAGGCUGGAGCUGCAUUCUGGACUCCGGCAGGAGUCACCACCCCACCUGGCUAGGUUUUCAUUUCUUCUUUUCCCUAAGCCUUUGAGAGAGUUUGGGAUUUUCCUGAUACAGCCUCUCUGGCUGCCAUCCAAACUCCAGAAGCACCUGGGCUCCAAAUGCCUUCGGGCUGCUCUUGCCACACAAUCCCAAGUGUGCUUUUCAGACAGCUCUCUCUGUCUCUGUCUCUGUCUCUGUCUCUGUCUCUGUCUCUGUCUCUGUCUCUGUCUCUGUCUCUCUCUCUCUCUCUCUCUCUCUCUCUGUGGAUUGUUGGCUUUCCCUAGAUCCCCUCUCCUCAGGCUGCUACUCUCAGCUCCCAGCUAUGCCUGUCCUCAGCCAGACUGCACCCCACCUGUGUUCUCUGUGUUCUCUGAUCAGACUGCACCCCACCUGUGUUCUCUGAUCAGACUGCACACCACCUGUGUUCCUCUCUGAUCAGAUGUGCUGCCCAGCUUUUAGCUCCGCCAUCUUCGUCAGCAGAUUUGGAGAAUGAAGGCAUCCAGAUAAGGAAUCUAAAGACCACGGGACAAAGAUGUGAAGAAAAAGGACAAAUCAUCCACGCCCAAAAAUAAAAAGUCCCAAGGAAAAGAGUGAAUUGACCUAUUACGAACCAUGACCAGGCCUAACAGCAACCUUUGACAUCUCCAAAUAAUAAUGGGUCCUCACAUCAAUGACUCCACCAGGACUGUGACAAUACUACUAAGCUGAAAAAUAUCACCCAAAGAUCAGCUUUGGACUACACACUGCUCAGGUGGCUAGCUAAGAUGAUCCAGCCUCACAGACUACUCUAGCCAGGACUUGAGACAAGCCCUGGACUUGCCCAUUACGAAGAGACUGGAUGACAAAAGAUACAGCUACCUCUCCCAGGACUUGACAGUUAAUCCAAAAUUUUCCUUUCAGGAUCACCUAAAGAUGCCAUUGACCCCAUACAGCAGGAAGUAAUUUUGAGAACACAAUGCCCACAUUCCCAAGAGGUGGGGUGGUGGUUUGGGGUCAUUCAAUGAGUUAUGGAUAUUUGUCAUUGUUUAAGUAGGUUGGUUACAAGUUGUUAUUGGUUAUGGUCAGGAAGAAAGUUGAACAAUGGAGAUUAGACUCAGAGUUGUUUUGAAAAAAGAAAAGGGAGAUAUAGUUAUGAUAGGAUAUAUGGGCAGAUUAUUGAAUCUACUCUGAAAACAAAACAAGGGGGAUAUAGAAAUAGGAUAAUAAGGUAGAUUAUUGAAUCUACAUUUAAACUAAAAUAGCAACUACUAGUUUUAAAUAUUUUACACUGGCUUGGAUUUCUUGUAUAUUAAUACAAAGUUGAGGUUAUUUUUGUUAGAACAUACUGUACAUACAUUUCUAAUCUUGUUCAGGUAUGGUACCUGUGCAACUCACUUAACAAUGUAAUGCAAAUAUUUAAUUCUUGAAAGUUAUUAUUGCCAACUAUUUAGGAUAAAAAGAAAUGCAAGUUAGUAAUUAGUCACCUAUUACAAUUGAACUUGUAGUCAUAUUAGGUAUGUUUUCAAGGUCAAACAGAGAUACAGUUUAGAUAGAUAAGCCAUCUUCAGACACUUCAGAGAUCUACAGAAUGUGGCAUCCAAGAUGUUUUAAUAACAUAGACUAUUUUUUCUUAUAUGACAAUGAUACAUGUCUGCUCCUGGCAGCACUAAUCUACUUGAGAGAAGAUGACCGGCAUUAAAGAAACUCCACCUGGAGUUUACUUUCUUUGUGGCAAAAGUUAGCCACUGGGCAAGCAACUUCUGACAGUAUACUGUCCAAAUUGGGACAAGCAGGACACACACAAAAAAAGGACUGCCAAACUUUGCCAAGACAAGAUAGGGAAGUCCUUCAUAAUAUCCUACUUCACAGAAAAGUCUGUCAGAUUUGCUAGGCCUGUAGGCUGAAGAUGGAUGUCCCAAUGUCACAGAGGAACCUUGGGUGACUGUCCAGGCAGUCAUCUGAUUCUAUCAUUUCUCAAAUUUUCUUUGGACUGUAGCUCGCUUGCACUUCCUGCUUAUUCAGGUAAUAUUAUUUCCUUCUAGGGUCUCUCAUGGAGUUGAAGACUUUAUAGUUAUAGUUUUCCUUGUUACUAGAUUCAGAAAAGAAAUUCACUGGGAGCUGGAGAGAUGGCUCAGUGGCUAAAAGGAAAAUUGAUAAAGAAAUGUAAAGUGUAUAAGGUUGAAAGACAUAAAAAGAUAAUACAAGUUAAAAUAGGAAGUGAAUUAGGACUCCCCAAGACAAGAUAGAUAUGGAGUAUUUCCUCUGAAUUUGUCAAUUAUUAAUGGACUAGACAUUGUUGAUAUAUUUAUUGCCUGUAUAUAGUAUAUAUUGUAUAUAGUUAUUGUGCUUAUUGUAUAUAGUUUUUCUUAUAUUUAUAACCUUCCUUUUAUUUUAGAUAAAAAAAUUAGAAAUGUGGAGAUACCUUGUCUGUAUAAAUAAAGAUCAGAGGGCGGAGCUAGCCACUACUUAA